ACAGGGGAUACACACAAAGGAGACAAGAUGACUGCGAUCGGUGGGCCUUCCAUGGUCACCUCGCGGGAAUUAAGUAGCCGCCGGUAACCGCCGGUAACCGCGGCACACUGAACACUGAUGGAUGAACACGGAGGUGUCUUUGGACGCACUUUAUGUUCAACUCACCUUAAGCAGGUCAGCACAGUCACCCCAUUUAUAUAUUAUUGAUGUACAGCCUCCCUUGAAUGAAAACAAAAAUGGUAAAAAUGGCAAAAACUAAAUAAUUUGUCGUUCCCUAAAUAUUAACAGAUAAGAAAAAUGACACAGAUUGGGGCCAAAUGGAUAUCUCAUGACUCCUUUGACUUACUGUCAUGAAACUCUGCCCACACAUGCAUAUCCUCAUGGUGAAAAAAAAAUAUCUCAAGAAUCUAUGUCUUCUAUGUCUGGAUAGAUUUCCCGCUAUUUGGAAUUUUGUUAAAAACUGUAAAUUCACUAAAGAUCUAUAGGUUUUUUGCCUUAUGUCACGAUCCUACUGUUGGGUAAGGUUAAGCUGGUUGGUAACUGGUCUGGUGGUCAUGGGAACGGUGGGAGUGGCUCCCUUGAUUGGUUGAUUGGGGUCACCUGGGGGAUCCAAGAUGGUGGAUAUACACAGCAUGGUGGCCAGUGGUUACAGCCCAGCAGGAUAAGACUCUGUAAAGCUAUUCACCCAUAUGCCAAGACACACCAGAGCUAAGGAGUCCAACGGGGGGAACGUGACCGCCCUUCACCGUCUUUGUUUGUCAAGUGUUUGUCUAAACAUGUAAACCCUAACUGAACGAGACAGCUACCGUUCACCACAACGCUUGGGCUAUCUCCAUAGCAAGAGAGAGAAGGACCAGCGCUCACCAGGAACCCAGAAGGAGCAAGCUUGAUUUCCCUACAAAGAACGAAGGAGAUGCUUGGAAAGAACUGGAGCUUACUGAAACAUGACCGCUUCACACAGUGUGGGGGGUACAAACCACACUGGAGCUAGGGAGGUCUGCUACAUUUGUUUGACAAGACCCCUUGGGGGAGCUCGUAAACCACUUUGGGCUUCCUGAGAAAAUGCAUGGCAACAAAACAAUCUUUACACAGAUUAACGCUGUGUCCCAAAUGACAAGGAUGGCAUCCUAGAUAGAUGGAUCCUUCUAGGUAAUAUGGUGCGAUGGACUGACUGUCCCAACAGUAAGGUAGCCUACAGUAGGAGGCAUUCAGGUACCUUGAUAAAAAGGAGAGAUGAGGUGAGAGAAGUGCCGAUAGAAACAGAGACAGCUGCCCUGUCGACACAUAUUUUAUAUGUGGGGUCAAUUGGUCAAAUGGGCCAAAGCCCCGCCCCAAAAAACGUUCCUCUGUAGUUUGCACUUACAGUAAGUUAUUUUUCUAUUGAGAUAGAAGGGCUGAUUUGCAGAUAUGCAGUGUUGGGUCGGUGGGUUGUAGGUCUGUAAAUAAUGUGGGUUGUAGGGUGAGAGGUCACGGGACUACUUCUUGAAGGGCUGGAGCCCCCAAAUGUAAUAUUGCAUCUGUCCUUGAGGCCCUCUUACAUAUAAAAGAGACCCCAGUUCACUCCCAAGUAUCAUUGACCGCAAGGUUUUCCUGUAGGGCUAGAUUUACUACUAUUUUAGUCAACCUUAAUGCCCUGAUUCAUAUAGAAGAUACCAUACCCUCGAUCUUACUCUCAGGUCAUUCUGUGCCCCCAUGAAUGGUGUGUUUGCAUCCCUCCUUGUAGGUCUGUGACCCCCAUGUGACCCCACUUUUGUCUUUUUUAAAUAAAUGUUGUCUAUUUACUUUAUUGAAACAUUAACCCUUCAAAAACCUUUAAAGACUAAAUCAUUUGUCAUGAUUAUCGUAACAAAAAUAACCUUAACCCACAGAAAGACAUCUACCUAGUCCGUCCCAAAGAAAAAAGAUAAAUAUGUAAUCUGUUGGUCUCUCGAAAAUCAAUGUCUUUAUUGAAAUCACAGUUACAUAAAAUCACACUUAACAGCACUGCUCAGAUGACUCAUCAUAGAUUCAAACAACAUGCAAGCUGCGUGGGUUCAGGGGAAGCUGCAUCCAUAUGAAUAACCAUGGCAACAAUAGCAAACGUUGCAUUAUGAUGAUUAUUUGAUGAUGAGGAUGGGAUGGAUGAAGUCGCAUUUGAUAAGGAUUGCUUGUGUUUUUAAUGGCUUUUAUAGUUGUCCCAUUGUAUUGUGUGAUUUAUAUGUAUUACAAUGUUAUUCUGGUUGUUGGCAUAAACUUCACAGAACCUUGACAAAACGUUGCCAUACAUGAUGUUUUGCAGUUUCAUGUGGCCAGAUGAUUGGAUGAUGUGGGUUGUUUUGGGUCGCAUUGACAAACUACAACUAUUCUGUCGUUUAGUCACAUUGGCUACCUUGUAAGCAACCGUCACUGCAAUCGGGAACCUAAGAAAUAAUCACCACAUGAGUUUUUUCCCUUCAGUGUUGUGUCUGAUGCCCUUCUAACUGCCUGCACUUUUCAUAUAAAAGUUUCAUAUAAAAAAACACAAUAAACCGAGAAAAUCAACAAGAAAGAAACAAUAUUUUGUCAAAACAGAUUAAAUAAUGAAAUAGGAGAGGCCGCCUUGCUUCUGAGCGACCAAAUAGACUCUACAUUUCUCUCUCUCUCUCUCUCUCUCUCUCUCUCUCUCUCUCUCUCUC
ensembl:lncRNA